AGUUAAUAAACCUCCAGUUUGGGGAUAUGUACAUGGGCAAGCAGGACCUGGCCAUGCGCUGAUUGAGCAGUGGAAUCCUGUAGGCCUGGUUGGAAUCAUCACAGCAUUCAAUUUCCCUGUGGCAGUGUAUGGUUGGAACAAUGCCAUUGCCAUGAUCUGUGGAAAUGUCUGCCUCUGGAAAGGAGCUCCAACCACUUCCCUCAUUAGUGUGGCUGUCACAAAGAUAAUAGCCAAGGUUCUGGAGGACAACAAGCUGCCUGGUGCAAUUUGUUCCUUGACUUGUGGUGGAGCAGAUAUUGGCACAGCAAUGGCCAAAGAUGAACGAGUGAACCUGCUGUCCUUCACCGGGAGCACUCAGGUGGGAAAACAGGUGGCCCUGAUGGUGCAGGAAAGGUUUGAGCAAUGGAAAUGAGAAGAUACUCUGCUGUUGUCACAUAUGCUCCUGAUAUCACAGAUGAAUAAAAGUUAUUCACAUGGAAGCUGAUUUUAAAAUGCACUUAAGGAAAUUGAUGAUCAAAAGAUCAGUAAUAAAUGUAUGUCUAAGGCCAGGCGCAGUGGCUCACGCCUGUAAUCCUAGCACUUUGGGAGGCCAAGGUGGGUGAAUUGCCUGAGCUC
rnacentral:sRNA from 1 species